rnacentral:rRNA from 1 species
GGGGGGGGGGGGGGGGGGGGGUGGGGGGGGGGGGGGGGGCGGGCGGGGGCGGCGGGGGGGGGGGGCGCGGGGGGCGGACGGGUGCGUACCGCGGGCGUAACCUGCGCUGGCCUGUGGGCUCACUUCCGGAACCUGGGGCUAAUACCGGCUCGGAGCGCCUGCUGCAUGGUGGGGGUUGGAACGUUUCGGCGGUUGGGGAUGGACUCGCGGCUUAUCAGCUUGUGGGUGGGGUAGUGGCUUACCAAGGCUUUCACGGGUAGCCGGCCUGAGAGGGUGACCGGCCACAUUGGGACUGAGAUGCGGCCCAGACUCCUACGGGAGGCAGAAGUGGGGAAUAUUGCACAAUGGGCGGAAGCCUGAUGCAGCAACGCCGCGUGCGGGAUGACGGCCUUCGGGUUGUAAACCGCUUUCGCCUGUGACGAAGCGUGAGUGACGGUAAUGGGUAAAGAAGCACCGGCUAGCUACGUG